rnacentral:rRNA from 1 species
UCUGCCUGGUAGUGGGGGAUAACGCUCGGAAACGGACGCUAAUACCGCAUACGUCCUACGGGAGAAAGCAGGGGACCUUCGGGCCUUGCGCUAUCAGAUGAGCCUAGGUCGGAUUAGCUAGUUGGUGAGGUAAUGGCUCACCAAGGCGACGAUCCGUAACUGGUCUGAGAGGAUGAUCAGUCACACUGGAACUGAGACACGGUCCAGACUCCUACGGGAGGCAGCAGUGGGGAAUAUUGGACAAUGGGCGAAAGCCUGAUCCAGCCAUGCCGCGUGUGUGAAGAAGGUCUUCGGAUUGUAAAGCACUUUAAGUUGGGAGGAAGGGCAUUAACCUAAUACGUUGGUGUCUUGACGUUACCGACAGAAUAAGCACCGGCUAACUCUGUGCCAGCAGCCGCGGUAAUACAGAGGGUGCAAGCGUUAAUCGGAAUUACUGGGCGUAAAGCGCGCGUAGGUGGUUUGUUAAGUUGGAUGUGAAAUCCCCGGGCUCAACCUGGGAACUGCAUUCAAAACUGACAAGCUAGAGUAUGGUAGAGGGUGGUGG